rnacentral:sRNA from 1 species
AGAUGUGUAUAAGAGACAGAGCGCCAGCGAGAGAGCGUUGCCGCAGGCAACGACCCGAAGGGCGAAGCGCGCAGCGCUGAGUAAUCCUUCCCCCACCACCA